AUCUUUCCCUUCCCGAUAAAAAUCUUUCACCUCUCUCUCAACACUUCUUCACCCUAGUUUUGCGCAGAGGGGAGAGGAGCCACUACGCCGUCGCCGCCGCCCUGCAUCUCAUCUUUUCCUUCUACCCUCUUCUCUGUUCUUCAACCUCAUCGCCCUUUUUUUUUUUCAAAGCAGAAAAAUCUGAUUUGUCGCAGAGAGGAGAGACACCGCUGCCGCCCCUGGCUCUCUUCACAACAUAAAAACCUGAUUUGUCGCAAAGAGGAGAGACGUCGCUGCCGCCGUGUUCUUCGUCGUUCAUCGGCUUUCUAUUCAUCAGCUUCAGGUAUGUAGUAUGAUUCAGAUUUGGAACUUAAAACACCAUUUGUUGAUACGGUUAGGGUUUUCGAUCGGUUUCCUGUUGCUUGUUGGAAUCCAUGAGCUUGAAGUUGCAGAAAUUUCGAUUAAAGAUUGUGAGGUCUUUUGUUAUUUGUUUCUGUGAAUUAAUGAUUUAUUUGCAAUCCAGAUUUUAAUUCUUUCUUGAUGAGAGUUUAA